rnacentral:rRNA from 1 species
GAAUAUUGGACAAUGGGCGAAAGCCUGAUCCAGCAAUGCCGCGUGAGUGAAGAAGGCCUUAGGGUUGUAAAGCUCUUUUACCCGGGAUGAUAAUGACAGUACCGGGAGAAUAAGCUCCGGCUAACUCCGUGCCAGCAGCCGCGGUAAUACGGAGGGAGCUAGCGUUGUUCGGAAUCACUGGGCGUAAAGCGCACGUAGGCGGCUUUGUAAGUUAGAGGUGAAAGCCCGGGGCUCAACUCCGGAACUGCCUUUAAGACUGCAUCGCUUGAAUCUGGGAGAGGUGAGUGGAAUUCCGAGUGUAGAGGUGAAAUUCGUAGAUAUUCGGAAGAACACCAGUGGCGAAGGCGGCUCACUGGACCAGAAUUGACGCUGAGGUGCGAAAGCGUGGGGAGCAAACAG